ACCCCUUUAUUGAUGACAAAUUCAUACCCAACUCAGAGAAAUUAUGUUGAAAUCAAUUUAACAUGCAUCACCAUCUGAAUGAGCCU